GCCAGAGCCAUAUCUCCCUGCAGUUCUCACCUGGUUUUCCACUGACACUAAGCAGGAUUGAGCCUGGCCAGUACCUGUAUGGGAGAACUGCUGGGGAAAACUAAGGUUGCUGCUGGAA
rnacentral:rRNA from 1 species